rnacentral:rRNA from 1 species
AUCUACAGCCAUACCACCCUGAACGUGCCCAAUGUUAUCUGAUCUCAGAAGCUAAGCAGGGUCGUGCCUGGUUAGUACUUGGUUGGGAGACUGCCUGGGAAUACUGGGUGCUGUAGGGU